ACGUCUUCUUCUUCUCAGAGCAGCGGGCGAGUUAAAAUAAUCAAAUCGCCAGCGAAAUCUAUCUAGUGCUACCACCCCGUUUGCCUUCCCGCUGCACGGCGUCGGCGGUGCUCGCCUGCUCUCUGCCUCUCUCACGUCUCUGCGGCGUUCUUCCGCCCGCCGGUCGACGCGAUGCAGCGCUGGCUCCCGGCCCUGCUCCGGCGCGCCGCGGGAGCCGGAGGCGGAUCCCCCGCGCGCCGCUCGCUCGCGUCCUGCUCCUCCCUCCUCUUCGACGACACCCAGGAGCAGUUCAAGGAGAGCGUGCACCGGUUCGCGCAGGAGCACAUCGCGCCGCACGCCGCCGCCAUCGACGCCUCCAACUACUUCCCCAAGGAGGUGAAUCUGUGGAAGCUCAUGGGGGACUUCAACCUGCACGGCCUCACCUCGCCAGAGGAGUACGGAGGGCUCGGGCUCGGUUACAUGUACCACUGCAUCGCCAUGGAGGAGAUCAGCAGGGCGUCAGGGUCGGUCGGCCUUUCAUACGGUGCCCACUCUAAUCUGUGCAUUAACCAGCUGGUCCGCAAUGGCAGUCCUGCACAGAAAGAAAAGUAUUUACCAAAGCUAAUCAGUGGGGAGCAUGUUGGGGCGUUGGCAAUGAGUGAACCCAACUCUGGCUCUGAUGUUGUCAGUAUGAAAUGCAAAGCUGAGAAAGUUGAUGGUGGCUAUGUCAUUAAUGGGAAUAAGAUGUGGUGCACAAAUGGGCCAUCUGCUCAGACACUGGUGGUUUACGCAAAAACAGAUAUAACUGCUGGAUCAAAGGGAAUAACCGCAUUCAUAAUUGAGAAGGGGAUGCCAGGGUUCAGUACUGCACAAAAGUUGGACAAACUUGGCAUGAGAGGAAGUGACACAUGUGAGCUUGUCUUUGAGAAUUGCUUUGUGCCUCAUGAAAAUGUUCUUGGAGAAGAAGGGAAAGGUGUUUACGUCAUGAUGUCUGGUCUUGAUUUGGAAAGACUUGUAUUAGCUGCAGGUCCUAUUGGCCUCAUGCAGGCAUGCCUUGAUGUUGUUCUUCCUUAUGUUCGCCAGAGGGAGCAAUUUGGCCGUCCGAUUGGAGAAUUUCAGUUCGUACAGGGGAAAAUGGCAGAUAUGUACACCUCCUUGCAGUCAUCAAGGUCAUUCGUAUACUCAGUUGCUAGGGACUGUGAUAAUGGAAAAGUUGACCGCAAGGAUUGUGCAGGAGUAAUUCUCUUUGCUGCUGAAAGGGCAACACAAGUUGCACUUGAGGCGAUCCAGUGUCUUGGUGGGAAUGGAUACAUAAAUGAGUACCCAACUGGCCGUCUCCUGAGAGAUGCAAAACUAUUUGAGAUUGGGGCUGGUACUAGUGAGAUAAGAAGAAUGAUAAUUGGCCGUGAGCUCUUCAAAGAGGACUGAGAUUAUCAUUUUGGCAUCCAGGGAUCAAUGCAGAUUGCUAACUGGAGGAGUACUAGUCGUCUCUUCACAGCCAGAAGGCGCUUCUGCUAGGAACCCCAGUGCGACAACAGCGUCACUCAUGUAUGGCCGAACAGAGUCUUCCUCCUCUAGGCACAUUGCUGCCACACCCACCGCCUGGCUCAAAUCUCUUUCUGCGUAUUCACCUCUAAGAAGAGGGUCUACUAGCUCAUGGGCCGAGCUUUGCGAGCCCAAAGUCUGAGAGUUUAGGGUUGUAUUCUUCAUCAAGAAGGAUGUUGGGGGACUUGAGAUCACGAUAGAUGACCGGCGGGUUCGCCUUCUCAUGGAGGUAUUCGAGCCCCUUGGCGGUUCCGUGAGCAAUCUUCAUCCUUUUAUGCCAGCUCAGUGGUAUUUGGUCAGAAGUGAGAUCUGCAAUUACAACAGUAACAGUUCAACUCAUAAAUUCCCGUUGCAUCUAUUAAUAAUUAAAUGUGCUGAUGAUGGCAGUGUUAGAAAGUAAUGCUAUACUGGUGUCUGAAUAUCUCGAUUUUUAAGCUCAAUAUAAUGUGUGCUGUAAUCCAUAUAUGCUUCUCUUAAUUUAUGAUCAGCAGAAUCUAGGUUUUUAUCAUAGAUUAAUCUUGAUGUUGUUAAAUGAGCACUGGAACUUCCGAACUUGAAUGUGACGGUGAAGAUGGAGACUAGCACUUACCCAGCAGGUGGUCUGCAAGCGAACCAAGGGGCAUGUACUCGUACACCAGUAGCCUUUGUUCUCCGUCUGCGCAAUAGCCUACCAAGCUGACGAGGUUCGGAUGGUGCAAGAGGCUAAGCAUCAAGACUUCAACUAGGAACUCUCUGUUGCCUUGAAAUCCAUUCAGCUUUGGCCGUGGAAGAACUUUCGGCAGGUUCACCGUUUGCUCUUAAUUCAGAUGAUUGCUCUUUCGAUUCUGCAAAGAUUCCUGGAGGGGUGCUCCGGAUCCCAUUGAGGUGGCUGUAUUUGCAACCGGGCCCGCCCACUCCAUCCUCCUCAAUGCCAUCUUCUUCUCAGGCUUGAAGCAUAAAAAGCAAUUCAUCGUUCACCACUGUAUGAAUCCUCCAAAUCCCUUUGUCUGUCUUCUCUUACAAUUCACAAUCCUCCUCCUUAUUAUGCCUACUUCCAAAAUCUCCAAUCCCCGUGCCUCCUCUGCUCUUACAAUCCAGAAGAAUCCUCGUUGCAUGCGCCAAUGGCAGCAAGGGAGAAGAGUUUGUAUACAGCUUCUUCCGUUUCCUCGCUGAAAGAUCAUGUAUCCAAGUCAUAAAUUGCCCUCACUCUGCCCGCGCAAAAAAUGUGAUCCUAUGAAGGGGAUGCGAUGGGCAGGAGGAGCAUUUUCUCCAUGCCUUCAUGGAGCUCAAUGUGCUCAGCCAAAAAUAGGACCUCUGUUGGUUUUGGGCGACGCUUGAGUUCUAAAAUUAGAAAGUCUGCUUGUCUGAAGAUCUGCGUGUCUGAUCUGAGUUAUACGCUAGCUGUCAACUGGUUCAAACCGUGUCAAAACUGCCUGGUCAUUGUUACAAACCGUGUCUGUUUCACCUGUACGUUCGUUUACAUUCCAUUCCAGGCUUCCAGCCACCAUGGCAUGUCUGUGACAGAUAGGUGCUGGUAUAACCAGUAGGACUGCUGAUCUGUCUGGUGACAUGUCGACAGCUGACAUUUGUUAUGUCUUUUUUGGCUGACAAAACAAAUCAGCGGAAUAUUUAGCAGCCAGUUGUAAAAAACAUUUUUCUUUUUACUAUAAAGGUUAAUAGGAAAAAAAUGAUUUCUGUA